GGACGAACGCUGGCGGCGUGCUUAACACAUGCAAGUCGAGCGGUAAGGCCCUUUCGGGGGUACACGAGCGGCGAACGGGUGAGUAACACGUGGGUGACCUGCCCUCAGCUCUGGGAUAAGCCUGGGAAACCGGGUCUAAUACUGGAUAUGACUCCAUGACGCAUGUUGGUGGGGGUGGAAAGCCUUGUGCGGCUGAGGAUGGGCCCGCGGCCUAUCAGCUUGUUGGUGGGGUGAUGGCCUACCAAGGCGACGACGGGUAGCC
rnacentral:rRNA from 1 species